rnacentral:rRNA from 1 species
GACGAACGCUGGCGGCGUGCUUAACACAUGCAAGUCGAACGGUGAAGCGCUUGCCUUUUUGGUGGGUGUGGAUGAGUGGCGAACGGGUGAGUAACACGUGAGUAACCUGCCCUCUUCUUCUGGAUAACCUCAUGAAAGUGGGGCUAAUACGGGGUAUUCCGGGUCUGUCGCAUGGCGGGUUUGGGAAAGAUUGCGCCUUUGGGUGUUUUCGGUGGGGGAUGGGCUCGCGGCCUAUCAGCUUGUUGGUGGGGUGAUGGCCUACCAAGGCGGUGACGGGUAGCCGGCCUGAGAGGGUGGACGGCCACACUGGGACUGAGACACGGCCCAGACUCCUGCGGGAGGCAGCAGUGGGGAAUAUUGCACAAUGGGCGCAAGCCUGAUGCAGCGACGCCGCGUGAGGGAUGGAGGCCUUCGGGUUGUGAACCUCUUUCGCCAGUGAAGCAGGCCUGCUCCUGGGUGGGUGGGUUGACGGGAGCUGGAUAAGAAGCGCCGGCGAACUACGU